GAUGAACGCUGGCGGCGCGCCUAACACAUGCAAGUCGAACGAGUAAGACGCCUUCGGGCGUGCAUAGAGUGGCGAACGAGUGAGUAACACGUGACCAACCUGCCCCCUCCUCCGGGACAACCUCGGGAAACCGAGGCUAAUACCGGAUACUCCGGGCCCCCCGCAUGGGGAGCCCGGGAAAGCCCUGGCGGGAGGGGAUGGGGUCGCGGCCCAUCAGGUAGACGGCGGGGUAACGGCCCACCGUGCCUACUACGGGUAGCCGGGCUGAGAGGCCGAUCGGCCACAUUGGGACUGAGACACGGCCCAGACUCCUACGGGAGGCAGCAGUGGGGAAUUUUGCGCAAUGGGGGCAACCCUGACGCAGCGACGCCGCGUGCGGGACGAAGUCAUUCGUGACGUAAACCGCUUUCAGCGAGGAAGAAC
rnacentral:rRNA from 1 species